rnacentral:rRNA from 1 species
GAAUCCUGCCCGGACCUAAACUGUAUCAGAGUGGGAUUUAAGCCAUGCGAAUUGAACGUCUUCUAACUUGUGGAAAGGCGUGGCAAACGGCUCAGUAACACGUAGCUAACCUACCUUAAAGACGGGAGAUAACCCCGGGAAACUGGGACUAAUACUCGAUAGAUCAUGACACCUGGAAUGGGUUGUGAUCCAAAGGAGUAGAUGAAUAUGUUCAUCUAUUUUGCUUUAAGAUGGGGCUGCGACCGAUCAUGGUUGUUGGUGGGGUAAUGGCCCACCAAGCCUAUAACCGGUACGGGCUUUGAGAGAAGGAGCCCGGAGAUGGACACUGAGAAAAGGGUCUAGGUCCUACGGGGCGCAGCAGGCGCGAAAACUUCGCAAUGUGCGCAAGCACGACGAGGUUACUCUGAGUGUCACCCGUUGAGGGUGACUUUUACUAGGCGUAAAUAAUCUAGAGAAUAAGGGGAGGGCAAGUCUGGUGUCAGCCGCCGCGGUAAUACCAGCUCCCCGAGUGGUUAGGAUGUUUAUUGGGCCUAAAGCAUCCGUAGCCGGUCUUGUAGGUCUUCUGUUAAAUCCACCAGCUCAACUGUUGGGCCGCAGAAGAUACCGCAGGACUAGGAGGCGGGAGAGGUGGACGGUACUUUAUGGGUAGGGGUAAAAUCUUUUGAUCCAUAGAAGACCACCAGUGGCGAAGGCGGUCCACCAGAACGCGCUCGACGGUGAGGGAUGAAAGCUGGGGGAGCGAACCGGAUUAGAUACCCGGGUAGUCCCAGCUGUAAACGAUGCGAGCUAGGUGAUGGGGUGGCUGCGAGCCAUCCCAGUGCCCCAGGGAAGCCGUUAAGCUCGCCGCCUGGGAAGUACGACCGCAAGGUUGAAACUUAAAGGAAUUGGCGGGGGAGCACCACAAGGGGUGAAGCCUGCGGUUCAAUUGGAGUCAACGCCGGG